UACGAAGGGGGCUAGCGUUGUUCGGAAUUACUGGGCGUAAAGCGCACGUAGGCGGACUAUUAAGUCAGGGGUGAAAUCCCGGGGCUCAACCCCGGAACUGCCUUUGAUACUGGUAGGCUCGAGUCCGGAAGAGGUGAGUGGAAUUCCGAGUGUAGAGGUGAAAUUCGUAGAUAUUCGGAGGAACACCAGUGGCGAAAGCGGCUUCCUGGUCCAGCACCGACGUGCAGGCACGAAAGCGUGGGGAGCAAACAGG
rnacentral:rRNA from 1 species